AACUAAUAUUUUCUAGAUUUUUAGAUAGGAGAGAAACAUUUCUGACAAAUAAGUAAUUAAUUGGAGAUUUAUUAGUAUUUUAUUUACAUGCUCUAACAUUUAACAGAGCCAAUUUAAAAAUCUCCAAUCAUUUUGAUUGGCUGAUGAAUGAAUGGUUGUUUCAAUCAUGAAGACUCUGAGAAAACUAUUCCAGGUGACUCUACCUCAUGAAGACUCUGAGAAAACUAUUCCAGGUGACUCUCCCUCAUGAAGACACUGAGAAAACUAUUCCAGGUGACUCUACCUCAUGAAGACACUGAUAAACUAAACUAUUCCAGGUGAUUCUACCUCAUGAAGACUCUGAGAAACUAUUCCAGGUGACUCUACCUCAUGAAGACACUGAGAAAACUAUUCCAGGUGACUCUACCUCAUGAAGACACUGAGAAAACUACUCCAGGUGACUCUACCUCAUGAAGACUCUAAAAAACUAUUCCAGGUGACUCUACCUCAUGAAGACUCUAAAAAACUAUUCCAGGUGACUCUACCUCAUGAAGACUCUGAGAAAACUAUUCCAGGUGACUCUACCUCAUGAAGACUCUGAGAAAACUAUUCCAGGUGACUCUACCUCAUGAAGACUCUGAGAAAACUAUUCCAGGUGACUCUACCUCAUGAAGACUCUGAGAAAACUAUUCCAGGUGACUCUACCUCAUGAAGACUCUGAGAAAACUAUUCCAGGUGACUCUACCUCAUGAAGACUCGGAGAAAACUAUUCCAGGUGACUCUACCUCAUGAAGACACUGAGAAAACUACUCCAGGUGACUCUACCUCAUGAAGACUCUAAAAAACUAUUCCAGGUGACUCUACUUCAUGAAGACUCUAAAAAACUAUUCCAGGUGACUCUACUUCAUGAAGACUCUAAAAAACUAUUCCAGGUGACUCUACCUCAUGAAGACUCUGAGAAAACUAUUCCAGGUGACUCUACCUCAUGAAGACUCUGAGAAAACUAUUCCAGGUGACUCUACCUCAUGAAGACUCUGAGAAAACUAUUCCAGGUGACUCUACCUCAUGAAGACUAAAUACUCAAAAUUAAGAUACUAAGAGUGUGCAGAUCUGUCCUUAAAACCAAAUGUGCUACUCAGAAGAAUCUAAAGUAUAAAACAUAUUCUGGUUUGUUUAACACUUUUUUUAUGUUUAUAGAAUAGUUCUGCAUGUGUUCCUGAAGAGUAACUGUUUAUUUUACCUUGGGUGUAUUGACAAAUAUCUUUCAGUUAUGAUUACUUAUCUUAGUAUCUAUAUUUACAUAAUCAUUGUGUGAAACCUUGUAUUCUAUAUGCAUAACCAAUACUCACAUUGUAUUUGAUCAUUUGUAUUACUCACAGUGUAUUUUACACGCAUUUAUAUAGAAGAUUAACCAAUACUCACAAUAUGUAUUAUUUACACAUAUAGUAAACAUUGUUUGAUAAGGCAUUUACUAACACAUUAACAUAUAACAUAUGAGAUGUAGCUCAGGCUUGAAGUAUUUUGUUUACUGCAUGACCCUAACUAACGGUCAUCAACUCGACUGGUACGGGGCUAAAUUGCUACAGAAGAGGCCUUAGAUCAAAGCGGCCUUUUGGUGAGUGAGUGCCUCCCUAGAACCUGCAGUGGCUUCAAAGAGGGGGGUGACGCACACACACAGAUAGUGCCACGAUGUUCCAUUCUGGAAGAACACAGUCAAGGCCAAACACUAGUGGUCCGGUCAGACACGUGAAACUUGAGUACUAACACGUGAAAUUAUGCAUAUUAACAUUAGCUAAUCGUUAGCAACGCCUCAUCAGCAGAUUUCACGUCAUUUGGGGUAUAAAACAUGGAGUCAGAUCAGAGGGGGGUCAGAACUUAUGCUGGGACGGCUGUUAGACGGUCUUUCAUGUGUUAGUUCUCCUGAAUAUUCAGUACUUUGUAAUAAAUACUUGGUUUGCUUUCAACUUCA